AGAGUUUGAUCAUGGCUCAGGACGAACGCUGGCGGCGUGCCUAAUACAUGCAAGUCGAGCGGACCUAGCGUUUCUUCGGAAACGCGUGGUUAGCGGCGGACGGGUGAGUAACACGUAGGUAACCUGCCUGUAAGACCGGGAUAACAUUCGGAAACGAAUGCUAAUACCGGAUACGCGAUUUGGCCGCAUGGCCGAAUCGGGAAAGACGGAGCAAUCUGUCGCUUAUGGAUGGACCUGCGGCGCAUUAGCUAGUUGGUGAGGUAACGGCUCACCAAGGCGACGAUGCGUAGCCGACCUGAGAGGGUGAUCGGCCACACUGGGACUGAGACACGGCCCAGACUCCUACGGGAGGCAGCAGUAGGGAAUCUUCCGCAAUGGGCGAAAGCCUGACGGAGCAACGCCGCGUGAGUGAUGAAGGUUUUCGGAUCGUAAAGCUCUGUUGCCAGGGAAGAACGCUUGGGAGAGUAACUGCUCUCAAGGUGACGGUACCUGAGAAGAAAGCCCCGGCUAACUACGUGCCAGCAGCCGCGGUAAUACGUAGGGGGCAAGCGUUGUCCGGAAUUAUUGGGCGUAAAGCGCGCGCAGGCGGUACAUUAAGUCUGGUGUUUAAGGCUGAGGCUCAACCUCAGUUCGCACUGGAAACUGGUGAACUUGAGUGCAGAAGAGGAAAGUGGAAUUCCACGUGUAGCGGUGAAAUGCGUAGAGAUGUGGAGGAACACCAGUGGCGAAGGCGACUUUCUGGGCUGUAACUGACGCUGAGGCGCGAAAGCGUGGGGAGCAAACAGGAUUAGAUACCCUAGUAGUCC
rnacentral:rRNA from 1 species